GCCGGGAUGGCGGAAUUGGCAGACGCGCUGGACUUAGGAUCCAGUGCCCUAAAGGCGUGCAGGUUCAAGUCCUGUUCCCGGCACCA
rnacentral:tRNA from 1 species